UUGCCAGUGAGAAUGUUAGACUGGAGAAUGGACGAGGUAGGCGGAAAUCGUAGUGUAGCGGUGAAAAUCAUAGAUAUUGCGAGAACUCCAGUAGUGUAGACUGCUUACCAGACCAUAUCUGACACUAAGGCACGAAAGUGUGGGUAUCAAACAGGAUUAGAUACCGUGGUAGUCCACACAGUAAACGAUGAAUACUAACUGUUUGCGAUAUACAGCAAGUGGUCGAGCGAAAGCGUUAAGUAUUCCACCUGGGAAGUAUGCCGGCAACGGUGAAACUCAAAGGAAUUGACGGGGGCCCGCACAAGCGGAGGAACAUGUGGUUUAAUUCGAUAAUACGCGAGGAACCUUACCCGGGCUCGAACGAUAUUUGAAUACAUCCGAAAAGAUGUAGCUAGCAAUAGCAAAUACCGAGGUGCUGCAUGGUUGUCGUCAGCUCGUGCCGUGAGGUGUCGACUUAAGUGUCAUAACGAGCGCAACCCUUACCGAUAGUUACCAUCAGAUAAUGCUGGGGACUCUAUUGGGACUGCCACCGUAAGGUGUGAGGAAGGAGAGGAUGACGUCAAAUCAGCACGGCCCUUAUGUCCGGGGCGACACACGUGUUACAAUGGGAGAAACAAAGGGUCGCUACCUGGCAACAGGAUGCUAAUCUCGAAAAUCUCUCUCAGUUCGGAUUGGAGUAUGCAACUCGACUCCAUGAAGCUGGAUUCGCUAGUAAUCGCACAUCAGCCAUGGUGCGGUGAAUACGUUCCCGGGCCUUGUACACACCGCCCGUCAAGCCAUGGAAGCUGGAAGUACCUGAAGUAUGUAACUAAAAGAGCGUCCUAAGUAAAAUUC
rnacentral:rRNA from 1 species